AUUGCGUUACUAGAGCACAUAGAUAUCCCUAACAAGCACUUGUGCCUCAGACAAACUGGUGAAGCUCGGAACAGAAUCAUUCUCCAUCUCUUAUACACAAAACUCUAUGUAAAGAACACUAGGGGACAUCAACGGGGAUUUUAUUUUCAAAUGCGACACUCCGGAAUAACUGGACCAUGAGCAUUUUCAGUUUGGCUCGGAAGUCCCCAAUACGUGGAUUCCUAUUGAGGUCACGUAUGACGCAACAGCAAAGGAGUAAAUAUCGAGUUCACCCUUGUCCAAGAUGGUGGAAUAAUUAUUUCGGAACGUAGAUCUCGUUUUGGAAAUGGCGGGCGUUGAAUAUUGUAUGGUUUGAUUUAUGAAGACGAUAUUCAAAGGUGUGAGAAUAUUCAAUGUGUACAAAGUUAUGGCUGCCACCUGGCUCCGUGUCCUGUGUAAACUAUCGAGAAGCCAUAAACAGGAAACCUUCACAACAACGUUGAUUCUCACUUCUACAUUGCAAACAUAGGAUUAAACAUAAAAAUAUAUACUGAUCUCCUAUAUCGUCGGUUAAGAAGAAAUAAAUGAUCACUCGACAGGAGUUGGACUCACACCCCGCGUGAGUAUUGUAAACCAUAUGGAGUCAAGGGAAGAUUCAAAGCUUGUGACUGUUAAAGAAGAGUGGAGAGACUCGCCUCCUCCUGGAUCAGAGCGCGCGGAAAGACAAUUUGAAAGCAGCGAAACACGAUCAGAGACAGACGGAAAGUUAUCGGCACAUAGGCCGGAUAAAUCUGGUUCACAACAAAACACAUCUCCCGGAGCACCUCCAACCAGCGGUGAUUCACAUCAAACGGCUGUGCAGACAACUACUUCCAGUCGUCAAGGAUUGCUCAAUUUUGCAGAAUCUAGUCAACUCCUACCGAAUGAGGACGUAGAAAAUUUCUUCCAUAGUCUUGAUCGUCCGCACGCUACUAGUGUGCCACUCACAACACUGAUACACACUGACUCGAACUCGACUCUCGCUACCCUCACCAACUCGCCCGCUCUCAGCGCAGGCCAAAUCAUGUACCAAACUGGAACAGGGACAACCAGUCAUAUAACUCCAUAUAUGGACGCUAAUACAAACUAUCUUCAAUCAGGGGUAAAUGGCACUGUGUAUGCCCGUCCAGUCUUGCCAUUGCACGCUCAAUAUACGGGACAGGGUGCCCCGGCUACUGGGAUGUGGCCGCAUGCUAUGCAACCAGAUACAGGGUACACAACAAAUGGUAGAAAUAGUUCAUUUAGCCCAGGGUCAUAUUAUCCCGCGGGAGAGCAGCUACCAUCCCCGGGCCAAAGACCGCCGCUAACCUACAACAAUGGAGGUCUUGCCAAUGGUAUCGGUGCGUACACAAGCUAUAUGAGUGGAACCCAAGAUAGAACGGCCUGGAGCCCCUAUAACGCGCCAUCAAUAGGUCUUCAGCAACAAGACAGACGGGGACCACCCUCCCCAGUUUCCCCGGAAGGUCGUGAGUGUGUGAAUUGUGGCUGCGUCUCUACUCCUCUGUGGAGGAGGGACGGGACUGGACAUUAUCUCUGUAAUGCUUGUGGCCUCUACUCCAAGAUGUCCUCUUCCGGACGGCCAUCGCCAAUGCCCCAGAAACCCCGUGAUCAGGGCCUGAGAAUGCCCCAACUGUCCGGUUCUAGGAGAAUGGGUCUACAGUGUGCAAACUGUGGAACGUCCACCACAACGCUAUGGAGGAGAAACAAUGAAGGGGAGCCUGUUUGCAAUGCUUGCGGCCUCUACUAUAAACUCCAUCAGGUGAACAGGCCAAUGUCAAUGAAGAAGGAUGGCAUACAAACCAGGAAGAGAAAGCCAAAGAGUGGGCCCUCUAAAGGGCAUAGGUCUCCACCAAGGCAUGUUUCAGAAGAGGUGAAAUCUAUGCAGCAGCAGCAGACCCCUCCCCCACCCCUGACACAGCUCUCCCAGCGCAGCUCUAGCUACAACAUGCCCCAGACCAUUAUGGGCUACAAUGGUGGAGGUAUCAUCACAUCUAUGGGAGUAUACACUCCUGGCGACAACAGUCCCAACCACAUGCCCACUUACCAACAGAGAGAUCCAAGCCCAGUGCCAAAUUACCAGCAAAGAGAGUCCAGCCCUAUGCCUAAUUACCAACCAAGAGAAACAAGCCCUAUGGCCAAUUACCAGCCUCGUGAGAACAGCCCUAUGGCAAAUUAUCAGCAACGAGAAACAAGCCCCAUGGUGAACUACCAGCCAAGGGAAACAAGUCCAACGGGCUAUCAGCAGCCACAAGUACACAGGGAGCAGAGUCCAAUGGCCCACUACCAGGCAGCAGCUAGGGAAGGAUCACCCAGACUUCAAAGUCCUGGGAGUAUGACAUCCCAAGUUAUGUUUGCCUCUAAUGUACCCAUGCCAUCGCCCCCGAAGGCAGUCCCUGUUAACCUGGACCAGAAUGAGAUGCCACCAGAACAUGGCAACAUCAAACAGGAGCAUAUGGGGGAGGACACCAGAUGCCUGGAUACAAAAAUACCAGGUGUCCACCAGGAGUUGGCAACUAGUUAACAGUAUUACACACAUACAGGGUGCCUCAUAAAGAUUUCAGACUCACAAACCUGAAAUAGAGAUCAGUUGUGAUCUUAUUUUCCCAGUUCAGAUCAUAACUAAUUGUGGUCUUAUUUUGACCAGAACUUAUGUAGCACCCUGCACAUGUAGAAAGAUAAUGAACAGUGCAAUAGCACAACUGCAAUGUAAAGACAUCAGGGUAGAAUGUAGAAAUGUGUAGAUAUCUUGCCACCAAAGCAACACCUGUUAGACCAGAGACACAGAAGCAAUACAAUGAUAUCCUUAAUGAAUGUCAUAUAGGACUCAAGGAUUUACUGGAAAAAUGACAUUUUCAAAACUUCACGAAACUUAUGCAAUAACUCAGAAUUGAGACUGAAUGUGAACACUUUUGCAGAUAGUAUUAUUCCAAGCUUAAGUGAUUCAAAAGUGAGGGCUCUACAAAUUAAUUGUCCGUGUAGCAUUUUACUUUUUUCAUCUGGUCAUUGUCACCAUAAAACAUCAGUUAAACAGACAGUUUAAAAAGAGGGUCACAUGAGAUAAGGUUAUUGAUAAAUCAUUUCUCUGUUCACAAACUUUAUAGUGAAUCAAGAUGAAUUUCCAUGUAUAAAGCAUUUCAUUUAUCAUUAAAAUCAUCAGGGGAAAGUGGAACAUACAUGUAUCUUCACAUUGUCUGUAUUCAUUGACUUAUGAAUAUUUACAUGUACUGUAAUUGAAUCUAGUAAAUGGUUAUGAUCGAGUCCAUGAAUGAAUUCCUGCAUAUUUUCAUGACAUAUGCAUUUAUUGAUAUUCUUAAUCAUUAUUAUUCUAUUUUACAUGAAUUUGUAAAAUUCUGAAUGUAAAAUUUAUGACCAGAUUUUCUUGUAAUAAGUUCUCUUUGUUAUAUUGUCCAUUAAUUGAUUUUCUUCAAAAUAAAACCCACGGGCUUUAUUUUGAGUGAAAUUACAGAUUUCUUGGUCAAAAGGUGUUGUUCAAUGACUUAGCAUCUGAAACAUUUUCUAUAACAUUAUUUGCUGUUUAAACAGCAUAAAAACAUAAUUCACAUUCAAAAGAAUUCUAUAAUAUUUUCAAUUUUUUAAAUACAUGCCAAAUUAUGCCUCACUCUCAUCUUAGAGCCCAGGGUCUUAAUACAAGAAAAAAAAAUCAGGUUUAUUUCAACAUCUUAGUCCCAGUGAAUAGUACACAAAGUAUCUAAAAAUGUAAAUGUUAAUUACACAAUGGUUAUGGGGAAAAUGUUGACAUUUUCGAUACAUCAUGCAGUGACUCAUUUCAAGUUAGCACUAUACUGUAAUCUAUAUUAGAUGUCUCAUUUUCUAGAUAUGUGCACUAAAAGUGUAUAUAAAGAUAUUUUGCUACUGUAUCUGCACUUUAAUCAAUACAAUUUGGAACUAACGGACGACCUUGAGUCAACGACUUCAAAUUACUGCAAAUCAUUUUACUAAAUGUACAUGCUGGUUGUCAUACAUUAAGCCUGCAUAGCAUAUUCUGCAAAAUAUUGUUGCUGUUUUUUAUAUAUCAAAAUAUUCUGGAUAAUUUAAAAAAUCAAAAUUCUGUAUUUUGGAGGUAGAGUCUAGAAUGGAAAACUGAAAACAAUCUAUUGAAUGCCCAUUACCAAACCAAUGUUAAAUGCAAUGUGCAAUGAAUUCAUGAAAAACUGAGAGAAUGGCCUCAAAUCAACCAACACUCCUUUAAUUUUUAAAUGCAUGCAACUACUUAGUACUGUAUUAUUUUUAUAAUUAAUUACUUGUACUUUAAACUUUUACAAGUUUAAAUUAUUAAGUGCCUUGUAUAGACAUCAUAUUUUAAGUUUUCAUUUUGAAGACAAACAUGUGGAUUGAUUUAUUAACAUGUUUUAGUCAAAUUUAAAUCUUGCCAACUAUAAGGGAUGUCCUUAUAAUUAGUUAAAGUAGCAGGAUUCUAUUCAACAUUUUAUGUGCACAUUUUGUCAGUAAUAUGUAAUUAAUAGAAAAUAA
rnacentral:misc_RNA from 1 species